rnacentral:rRNA from 1 species
AGAGUUUGAUCCUGGCUCAGAUUGAACGCUGGCGGCAUGCCUUACACAUGCAAGUCGAACGGUAACGCGGGGCAACCUGGCGACGAGUGGCGAACGGGUGAGUAAUGCAUCGGAACGUGCCCAGUAGCGGGGGAUAACGCAGCGAAAGCUGUGCUAAUACCGCAUAUUCUCUACGGAGGAAAGAGGGGGAUCGCAAGACC